UUAUAGAAGUGAAGGUUGACAGGUGUCAGGCAGAUGAGGACCCCAAAAUAAACCCAGAACCCAGGAGCAUGUGGUAACUCAGAAUCCAAGUGAAAGGAGAUGACGAGAGGUAGGCUGGAGUCGGAGGCCCCUUCCUCCUCAGGUAGGAUGAGGUUGAGGCCUGACCAUUGGAUACCACAGCCAUACAGAGACUGGGUUUACAAAGAGAUGGGAUGGGAGAAAUUGUGGGUGUGAGCUUCAGGGGCUUCCGAUGUGCUGCAAAGGUGAGAGGACACCCUCGCCUUUCCCGGGAUUCUGCCUUCUGCCCAGAGUCUAGUGGCCUCCACCCUUCUGCUUUGCAGCCUGACUCUCUCAGAGUGAGUGACCAUGCUAAAAACCGCAUCUCUCCCUAGAUCCUCUCUGAAAGUGGUGAAGGCGGCAGCCCAGGUCUUGAAUACAUUGUGGCAGUAUCGGGACCUCCGGAGCAUUUACAAAAAGGAUGGGUGGAAUCAGAACCAUUUUAUUACACCUGUGUCCACGCUAGAGCGAGACCGAUUCAAAUCACACCCUUCUCUGUCCACCACCAACCAACAGAUGUCACCCGUCAUUCAGUCAGGCUCCAGCAAACCUUCACCAAUAUACAUCAGUUCCUAUUCCUCACCAGCAAGAGAACAAAACAG
rnacentral:lncRNA from 1 species